CCCUUAGAUGUUCUGGGCCGCACGCGCGCUACACUGAUGCAUUCAACGAGUCUAAAACCUGCUCUGAUAGGGGUGGGUAAUCUUUUGAAUGUGCAUCGUGAUUGGGAUAGAUGAUUGCAAUUUUUCAUCUUCAACGAGGAAUGCCUAGUAAACGCAAGUCAUCAGCUUGCAUUGAUUACGUCCCUGCCCUUUGUACACACCGCUCGUCGCUCCUACCGAUUGAAUGAUCCGAUGAAUAUCAUGGAUUGAGGAUGCAAGUAGGUUCGCCUAUCUUCAUCUUCGAGAAGUGAAGUAAAUCUUAUCAUUUAGAGGAAGGAGAAGUCGUAACA
rnacentral:rRNA from 1 species